rnacentral:rRNA from 1 species
UUGGAGGGCAAGUCUGGUGCCAGCAGCCGCGGUAAUUCCAGCUCCAAUAGCGUAUAUUAAAGUUGUUGCAGUUAAAAAGCUCGUAGUUGAAUUUCGGGAUUGACGUGAUGGUCGUGCCUUACGGGGUAUGAACUGUUGCAGUCAAUUUCUCACCUUCUGGAGAAAUAUGAUGUCCUUAAUUGGGUGUCAUAUGAAACCAGAACUUUUACCUUGAAAAAAUUAGAGUGUUUAAAGCAGGCUUAUUGCUCGAAUACAUUAGCAUGGAAUAAUAAAAUAGGACGGCAUGGUUCUAUUUUGUUGGUUUCUAGGAUCACCGUAAUGAUUAAUAGGGAUAGUUGGGGGCAUUAGUAUUCAAUUGUCAGAGGUGAAAUUCUUGGAUUUAUUGAAGACUAACUACUGCGAAAGCAUUUGCCAAGGAUGUUUUCAUUAAUCAAGAACGAAAGUUAGGGGAUCGAAGACGAUCAGAUACCGUCGUAGUCUUAACCAUAAACUAUGCCGACUAGGAAUCAGACGAUGUUAAUUUUUUAAUGACUCGUUUGGCACCUUACGGGAAACCAAAGUGUUUGGGUUC